UGAUAUAAUUCAUUAGUGCUAACAGACAACACUAAUGGUGGAAAAAAAAAACUCGAGAUCAUUAGAAUUCACCGCACUAAUUCUCCAGAGGCGGAUUGAUUUGCAUGCCCAAAUCAGCCGUCUAAGCUGACAAUUAACUUCCCCAGCAGGGGAGAUCUGUGUGGGGCCGCUGUGGGGGGGCUGGGCAUGCAAAUCAAGUAAUUAUGAGUGCCAGUUGAGGAUUAAUUAAAAAGGUGUUUAAAGUUGGCAAAGACCAUCUUUUAAACAUUACUUACGUGUGUGUGUCAUUUGGGGGGAAUAAAUGCAUACUGUAACAAGGAAAUAAAAUGUUAAAAAUAUACAAUAAUAUUGAUGCAGAUUUUAAUUUAUUAAUGUAGCGAUAAUGCGCAAAAUGCACCUCACAGGAGGUCAUUGACUUGUUGAAGGCUGUAGUACCGCCGCAAUGCCACAUGAUCGUUUAUGGCCAACCAUCACUGAAAGGAAGACGAAGAAGAAGAAGAAGAAGAAGUAACACCACCUCAUGGUCACAAGAUGGCAGUGAAGUCAGUCUAAUGGUGACUGGCUCCUGUCAAAACGAGGGCACAUGACGUCUGUUGUCUGCCUACCAUCUGCAGAUAGUCCGAAAAUAAUCAUGAAACGGACGCCAGACUUCAUUUUCCCUUGCCCCAUUUUGUGAGAUGUGGUGGACCAAACUGGCAGCCUGUGGGACUUCCAGCUCACUGAGGGGGGGAGGAGAAAACGCUUGCCUGAAGGGUUAAAAAUACGCCAAACAAGCAGGAAAACAGUUCCAUUCCCAUUUGUCUCUGACCAUGUGACCUGUCUGGGGCUGGCUGCCAUGUCUGUGACUGCCCAGUCUGGGAACCGACCUCAGCCAAAAAGGAAACUCUACAUUAAGCGACAAUGACAAUUCAGGUAGGCGCCCGCUUGGAAAGCAAAAGUAUACAGGCAAUGAAGCAUGACUCCAUCUUCCUUUUGGUGGAAAAAAGCUCAUCAUCAAUCAUUCAAAGAGGGGAGGUGUUUUGCAUAUGUUUUGCUGGCAUCUCCCCGUCCGUCAAUGCGGUAGGUCAGAUAUGGAACAAUCAUGGUGUUGUAUAAAACAUACAGAGCUUUGUUAUCCAAUGAAUCCUUUACUUUGUGUAACAGUGCUAUUGUUCUUGAUAUUUUUACCUUUGUGUACUGUAUAUGUGAUUUCCAACACAAAUUCUCAUCUAGAAUGAUACCCAAAAAUGUGGUUUUCCUUAUUCUAUUAAUUCCAAUACCAAUAUUGUAAUGUCGGGGGAAUAACCAUGAGGCAGGAUGACUGUGCAAAAUCAGCCUUUUAUUGGCGUCUACAUAACGGCACUGUGUACCUUUCAGUAAGAUGCAUUCCACAUGUCAGUGCAGCAACUCUUCUUUGCUUUUGGACUGACUUUAACGAGCAGACAAACACCGCUGCCCCCUCUAGACCAAUCCCUGAAUCACAGCCCAGAACCAUACACGAUAUUCCCAUCACUACAAUAUCAUGUGAAAACAAAUGAAUUUAAACAGCCUACACCUCUCACCUUACCCCGCUGGCAACACGCACCACACCUUCCAUGCAACAUACACCACACACCAGCCUUGCAAGUGUGCUUUACCCUUACCGCUUUCAUUCCUCUUCUGGUGAAAUCAUAUUUUCUAGCCACCGCCGCCAGAUUUGUUUGGUCACAGCGGCGCCUGCUUGAUAGAUACCCCAUACACAUAUACUCGUCAGCGCACCUCCAAACCACCCUUUUGGAGAGUUUGUAUGACAGUUUGGAGAUAUGUGAACUCAAGAGUGCCAGAGCCUCCGCAGCGUGUGUGAAGCACACACACAGAUUUUGGCGGCGACUAAUGUAAAUGCUGCUCCCACUGCCAGAAAUUAUACUCAGAAUAGAAACAGUG